rnacentral:rRNA from 1 species
GGGCCCGCACAAGCGGUGGAGCAUGUGGUUCAAUUCGACGCAACGCGAAGAACCUUACCUGGGCUCGAACGGCUGGUGCCACCGGUGGAAACAUCGGGUGCUUGCGAUUACAUCAAGAGCUGCCAGUCGAGGUGCUGCAUGGCUGUCGUCAGCUCGUGCCGUGAGGUGUUCGGUUAAGUCCGGCAACGAGCGCAACCCCUAUGUACUGUUGCCAGCGGGUAAUGCCGGGGACUCUGUACAGACUGCCUGCGCAAGCAGGAGGAAGGUGGGGACGACGUCAAGUCAUCAUGGCCCUUAUGUCCAGGGCUACACACGUGCUACAAUGGUCGCUACAAAGGGAUGCCAACCUGCGAAGGGGAGCAAACCUCAAAAAAGCGCCCUCAGUUCGGAUUGUAGUCUGCAACUCGACUACAUGAAGCUGGAAUCGCUAGUAAUCGCGGAUCAGCUACGCCGCGGUGAAUACGUUCCCGGGCCUU